GACUUCUGGUUUCACAAGGCCUGUGAGUGCCGGCGCGCGUUUACCAUCCUUCCAGCAACGGCUACCCUUAACUGGGCGGCUGGAACUGGAUCUUUUACUUUGAAAAAAUUGCAUGGAAAAAAAAAUCUGGGACUUCGGUUCUAUUUUGUUGGUUUCUAUAACUGAAGUAAUGAUUGCUAGGGCUUGUUGCGGGUGCUAGUAUUGGCCGGUCAGAGGUGAAAUUCUUGGAUUCGGUCAAGACUAACUUAUGCGAAAGCAUU
rnacentral:rRNA from 1 species